rnacentral:lncRNA from 1 species
UCCACUGGCAUUUCUUCAACAGACGCAACAUCAACAUCCUUGGCGGUCACGACUACCUCAUAAGAAGUAGCCUUAUCACCACCAAGGGUCGCGUCGACAACCUUUUCAGGCAAAUAAAAUCAUCAAAAAGACUACAAGACAAACUCUACCAGUUACCAAUGAAUACACAACUACAUACCUUGGUACUCUGCGACUUCUCGGGAGUCAAACUCGAAGUCGAGGCAGACUUAGUA